CCCUUAGAUGUUCUGGGCCGCACGCGCGCUACACUGACAGAGCCAACGAGUUCUUCACCUUGGCCGGAAGGUCUGGGUAAUCUUGUUAAACUCUGUCGUGCUGGGGAUAGAGCAUUGCAAUUAUUGCUCUUCAACGAGGAAUGCCUAGUAAGCGCGUGUCAUCAGCACGCGUUGAUUACGUCCCUGCCCUUUGUACACACCGCCCGUCGCUACUACCGAUUGAAUGGCUCAGUGAGGCCUUCGGACUGGCUCAGGGAGGUUGGCAACGACCACCCCGGGCCGGAAAGUUCGUCAAACUCGGUCAUUUAGAGGAAGUAAAAGUCGUAACA
rnacentral:rRNA from 1 species